AAACCAACAGGGAUUGCCCCAGUAGCGGCGAGUGAAGCGGCAAGAGCUCAGAUUUGGAAUCGUGUUUCGGCACGAGUUGUAAAUUGCAGGUUGGAGUCUUUGUGGAAGCGUGUGUCCAAGUCCCUUGGAACAGGGCGCCAUUGAGGGUGAGAGCCCCGUGGGAUGCGCGCGGAAGCAGCAAGGCCCUUCUGACGAGUCGAGUUGUUUGGGAAUGCAGCUCUAAGCGGGUGGUAAAUUCCAUCUAAGGCUAAAUACUGGCGAGAGACCGAUAGCGAACAAGUACUGUGAAGGAAAGAUGAAAAGCACUUUGAAAAGAGAGUGAAACAGCACGUGAAAUUGUUGAAAGGGAAGGGUAUUGGGCCCGACAUGGGGAUUGCGCAUCUCUGCUCCUUGUGGGCGGGGCGCUGUGCUUUUCCUGGGCCAGCAUCGGUUUUUGCCGCAGGAGAAGGGGUACUGGAAUGUGGCUCCUCGGAGUGUUAUAGCCA
rnacentral:rRNA from 1 species